rfam:Tupaia belangeri cont1.271887, whole genome shotgun sequence.
CGGUUUCCUGCAUCAACAGUGCUUGAACGGAACCG